GGUCGCUUAGCUCAGUUGGUUAGAGCGUGGUGCUAAUAUUGGUGGCGCUCGAGUAGUGUCUUUCAGUUAACGCCAAGGUCGCGAGUUCGACCCUCGUAGUGACCA